ensembl:misc_RNA 7SK 7SK RNA
GGAUGUAAGGGCGAUCUAUUGAUCACCAGGGUUGAUUAAGCUGAUUUGGGUGCUAGGCGAGUGUCCCUCUUCCCUCACCACUCCAGGUUCUUCUCUCCAGAAGCUGCGUGCUAGGUUGAAGAGGAUGAAGACGACGGCCUUUCCGGAGUAGGGACCCACAGGAACGGGUCUUUGGUAGAGGGCAUAUGAGUAGCUGUGCCCACACCCCCCAACUAGAACCUCCAAACAAGCUCUCAAGAAAUAUGGAUUUCCAUACAUAUGAUCCCUAGAAAUAUUUGAAAACUUACUCAUGUGUCCCUCAUAUAUUUUAUA